rnacentral:rRNA from 1 species
GAGGAAAAGAAAUUAACUAAGAUUCCCUUAGUAACGGCGAGUGAAGCGGGAGUUAGCCCAGCACUGAAUCCCCUCGAGCACGUUGUCUUGGGGAGCUGUAGUGUAUGAGGCCUGUGAUAUUCGUUUAGCGCGUGCCGCAGACAAGUCGCAUUGAAAGUCUCUACUCCGUAGCGGGUGCGAGACCCUUGUCGACGUGGGCAGCGCGACGAACCUCUGACGGGCCUCGAGAGUCGGGUUGUUUGAGAUUGCAACCCAAAGACCGGUGGUAAGCUCCAUCGAAGGCUAAAUACUUCCACGAGACCGAUAGCGAACAAGUACCGUGAGGGAACGUUGAAAAGAACUUUGAAGAGAGAGUUCAAUAGAAUGUGAAACCGCCUAAAGGUAAACGAGUGGCACCGCAAUAGUCGGCCCACGGCGUACAGGUUUUCAGUCAGAACGCGAGUCUGGAACGGUGGCUUGAUGGCGACGAACGCCUCUCUUUCGGGGGAAGCGAAGUAGUCUGCCACUGCCCCUUCCUUUCGCGGCUGUUUGCCGACGUGGCCGUUCGGGCAGGGCGUCACGAUCGCUUUGCUGUUCGUCAAAGACGGAGUCCCAGACUGUGAGACGGGUUUGACAGGGCGGCUCUUCGGAGUUCGUGUUUGUCGCUCUCUCGCGACGGUGGACACCUCGGCGGAGCGGAGCGUGUAACGAUCCCGCAUUUCGACGUAUCGACGAUCGAGCGUGGUUCAGACAGUGUGCCGUAUCUGGGUUUUGCACUUCGGUGCUAAUCCUCGCGGCGAUUGUCGUGUUCGGGCGUUCUUGUUGUGUGUCGUGUCGUGCGGUUGUCGAUCGGUGACGAAUGAGUCGGCUUG